rnacentral:lncRNA from 1 species
CCCGCGAUAGACUCCACGUGGCAUGUCCCGAUGAUAGCCACGAUUCCACUCCACUACUCUCCGCAACAAACUCCUCCUGACCAUGGGCAGCCCACUGCCAGACGGUUACAAACAUCGCUAUCAGUCUGUUGCUCCCUCCGCCUAUAAAAGGGGGGACCCCAGAUAUGUUAUUCUCUAAGCUCUAUUUUCUAUCCCAAAAC